rnacentral:rRNA from 1 species
UACAGAGGUCCCAAGCGUUGUUCGGAUUCAUUGGGCGUAAAGGGUGCGUAGGCGGCGCGGUAAGUCGGGUGUGAAAUCUCGGGGCUUAACUCCGAAACUGCAUUCGAUACUGCCGUGCUUGAGGACUGGAGAGGAGACUGGAAUUUACGGUGUAGCGGUGAAAAUGCGUAGAUAUCGUAAGGAAGACCAGUGGCGAAAGGCGGGGUCUCCUGGCAGUUCCUGACGCUGAGGACGAAGGCCCAGGGGGAGCAAAACGGGG